UGCCUCAUUGCUCAGUUGGUUAGAGCGUUGACUGUACUAAAGUCUUCCACUUGUUGGCGUGGGUUCUAAUCCCACCGAGGCGG
rnacentral:tRNA from 1 species